GAAUUAGACAGGUCUGAUGAAUUAGACAGGUCUGAUGGAUUAGACAGGUCUGAUGGAUUAGACAGGUCUGAUGGAUUAGACAGGUCUGAUGGAUUAGACAGGUCUGAUGAAUUAGACAGGUCUGAUGGAUUAGACAGGUCUGAUGAAUUAGACAGGUCUGAUGAAUUAGACAGGUCUGAUGAAUUAGACAGGUCUGAUGAAUUAGACAGGUCUGGUGAAUUAGACAGGUCUGAUGGAUUAGACAGGUCUGAUGAAUUAGACAGGUCUGAUGAAUUAGAC